rnacentral:snRNA from 1 species
AACAAGUCUUGAUGAUUCAAAUAA